GACGAACGCUGGCGGCGUGCUUAACACAUGCAAGUCGAACGGAAAGGCCCUGCUUUUGAGGGGUGCUCGAGUGGCGAACUGGUGAGUAACAAGGGAGUAACCUGCCCUGUACUUGGGGAUAACUUCAGGAAACUGGGGCUAAUACGUGAUAGGAGCUCCUGCUGUAUGGUGGGGGUUGGAAAGUUUCGGCGGUUGGGGAUGGACUCGCGUCUUAUCAGGUUGGUGGUGGGGUAGUGGCUUACCAAGGCUUUGACGGGUAGCCGGCCUGAGAGGGUGACCGGCCCCAUUGGGACUGAGAUACGGCCCAGACUCCUACGGGAGGGAGAAGUGGGGAAUAUUGCAGAAUGGGCGGAAGACUGAUGCAGAAAAGCCGCGUGCGGGAUGGCGGGCUUCGGGUUGUAAAAAGUUUUCGCAUGUGACGAAGAGAAAGUGACGGUAAUGGGUAAAGAAGCACCGGCUAAAUACGUG
rnacentral:rRNA from 1 species